GAUGAACGCUGGCGGUAUGCUUAACACAUGCAAGUCGAACGGACUCUUCGGAGUUAGUGGCGGACGGGUGAGUAACGCGUGAGAAUCUGGCUUUGGGUUCGGGACAACCACUGGAAACGGUGGCUAAUACCGGAUGUGCCGAGAGGUAAAAGAGAAAUUGCCUGAAGAUGAGCUCGCGUCUGAUUAGCUAGUUGGUGAGGUAAAGGCUCACCAAGGCAGCGAUCAGUAGCUGGUCUGAGAGGAUGACCAGCCACACUGGGACUGAGACACGGCCCAGACUCCUACGGGAGGCAGCAGUGGGGAAUUUUCUGCAAUGGGCGAAAGCCUGACGGAGCAGUACCGCGUGAGGGAAGAAGGCUCUUGGGUUGUAAACCUCUUUUCUUAGGGAAGAACAAAAUGACGGUACCUAAGGAAUCAGCAUCGGCUAACUCCGUG
rnacentral:rRNA from 1 species